rnacentral:misc_RNA from 1 species
UCCGACUUAACGUCGGCAGUCCUUCUAGAGUGCCCAACUGAAUGGUGGCAACUACCGACAGAGGUUGCGCUCGUUGCGGGACUUAACCCAACAUCUCACGACACGAGCUGACGACAGCCAUGCAGCACCUUCUCACCAGUUCCCCGAAGGGCACCCCGACAUCUCUGCCAGGUUCUGGUGGAUUUAACCCAGGUAAGGUUCUGCGCGUUGCGUCGAAUUGAACCACAUGCUCCACCGCUUGUGCGGGCCCCCGUCAAUUCCUUUGAGUUUCAGCCUUGCGGCCGUACUCCCCAGGCGGGGCACUUAAUGCGUUAGCGCCGGCACCCAGGGGGUCGCUCCCCCAGGCACCUAGUGCCCAUCGUUUACGGCGUGGACUAC